CAGUGAAACACUGACUGCUUAUUAUGGAAUGCAUUUCUUGAAAAGCCUCAGUAGAGCUCUGUGGUAGUAACUUUAUGCACUGGAGUGAGAAGAGAUGUCCACAAAUCUCUCCUGGUUAGAAAAGAAUAGGGGAAGAGACAUGGUCCCAGGUUAAUCACUAGGCAGCAUUUAGAAUCUAAUCUCUCCACCAAUCAGAAACGCUGGGGAUGCUUUAAAAAUUAGUUGAAUAUUAAAAUACUUUUAAUAUUCAUUCAGCAAGAAAGAAGGUCUCUCUAGUGCUAUUGAGCUGCUUUGAGAGGACCAUUAGAACAACCUUCCACUGGACAGUGUUGGAGAACUGGAGUACAAUCCUCUAGCACUCCAAGGUGUGAAGGGAUGACUAAAUACCUGCUUAGCAGAUUUUCUUCCAGGAGUUUGCUGUGAACAAUCUAAAUGAACAGAUUCCUUCUGAGACUAGUUUAUUUGAAACCGUAGGAAAUUCUGAAAAUGGCCAUUGUUUCUUCCCUUUUCUUCUCUGGAAUUCUUUCCAACAGCAGCAGAACAGGAAGAUUAUCAUGGCAUACCAGUCACCAGUCACAGUGUCCAGUGAUAUAUUGUUUGCUUCUGUAUAGAAGAUUUUUUAUUGAAAACACUUCCCUCUGGAAAAUGCCUAGCUCCCAUCAGCCGGAAAAUUUUCCACUCUGUGUAUCAGUCAUCUGAGUUGUGUAUCUGUUAAUGACUAAGUCAGUUUAAUGGUGUGUUCAACCUCUCUUUUGUCUGAAUCUUUUUGCAGACUAUUAAAUUAUAUUCCCACUCUGAAAGGAGGUGUUUCACUUUCGUAUGUAAUACUAAGGUGUUUGAUAUCUCUUGCAGAUAUAUACUGUGUUUGAUUCAGUGUGACACACCUUUUCCUUAGAUGAAGAUGAAAAUUCUGAAAGAUCAGCCAGGCUACUCGAUCAGUCAGAUCUGCUGUUGUCCCAAAGCUUCCAUCUUCCCUUAAACUGCAUUUCAUCAGAACCUCCUCCUGUGAAUGGCUUGGUAUCCACUGUCAUAAUUCUAGUAUCUAGUUUCUUAACAGAAGAGCCUAAUUUGAUCAGACUCUCCCAUUUUUAUCCAUGGGGGACAUGACAGCUCCAGGUGAUAUACUAUCCUUCCUAGCAUCACUGUUUGAUAAUGAUGUCAAUAUUGUAAAAGGAAGGUAUCCAUUCAAUCCGUGAACUAGAAAACCUAGAGUUCCAGUGAAAGUAAGUACUUGAUGCUGACUGGUCUGGAAAUCAUGACCUUGUUAAAAUUCUUUCUAAGCAAUAAAAGGCUGAUGGGGAUGAAGAGCAUUAUUUCAGUCCUGAAGUGGCCAAUCCUUUACAGAAGGCAUCAGGGAUCAAUUUAGGUUUUUGACAAGUUCAUGACUUCAAUAAGUAACUGAUAAACUAAAAAGAGGUUGAUUAACAGUUUAUAAAUAGCUGCCCAUAAAGAAGCAGUAGCAAACAAGAUUUCUUUCACUUCUUCAUAUGACUAGCACCAGGAAGGAACUUUGUGGACAUCUCUGGGUUGGACCUCACACUACACUUAUAUAUUUUUGCUUUGACAGAGGUGAUUUCCAUACAAAAGUUAGUGAAACAGGCAAUAACUGGAAGACGUUUGGAAGAGGUAAAUAACUUUCCACCAGAGAGACACACGUCAUGAAACUUCCUGGAGAGACUAGCAGAAGCAUCCUAAAGCCUCUUCAUCUCCUGAGCCACAAACUAGAAGCAUGAUGUUUCAUUUAGGUUCAAUUUAUGCAAAUUAUUGCACAUCCUAGAAGAGCUGCUCCUCUCCCACUGUUCUUCUCCUAACGCAGUGGCCCUUUGAUUAUGUACAACAGAAAGGGUGAUAUCCACCACAACCAGAUAAUCUAGAACUGUUUACCACAGUCCUCGUGCUUAUGUAAUGAGCAAUGGCUUACAUCAACAUGCCGGGGUUGUUAGCAAGUGAAGGAAAGAGGAGUUUGUAAUUCAUGUGAAACAUGAUUCAGCUGUCAAAGAUGUGCAGAAGCAGAAGAGGAAGGUUUGCAAGAUGCCUUUUUCCUCCGUUAUGCCAACUCAUUUGCACUGCAAGUUACAACACAGAUGGGACCUGCUGCCCCUAUGUCUGAUAUGCUCACUACCUUUUACCUUCUUACCGUCCAGCACUUGGCAUUUACUCUAUGCACAAGAAGGGAUUUGUCGAGCAGGCUGUGUCAUGCUUUUCCUUGUGGCCAGUCCAGGGACAGCACAUUGCUCAAGAUUGGGUACUGAAGCUAAAUAGGAAAGUUUCAUUUUUCAUUUAGUUCCAAUUUUGUUUUCAAUAGACGAAAUAUAUGUCAAUAAUUUUGUGUGUUUUUUAAUUAUUCAAGUUGAAAC